GACGAACGCUGGCGGCGUGCUUAACACAUGCAAGUCGAACGGAAAGGCCCUGCUUUUGUGGGGUGCUCGAGUGGCGAACGGGUGAGUAACACGUGAGUAACCUGCCCUUGACUUUGGGAUAACUUCAGGAAACUGGGGCUAAUACCGGAUAGGAGCUCCUGCUGCAUGGUGGGGGUGGGAAAGUUUCGGCGGUUGGGGAUGGACUCGCGGCCUAUCAGCUUGUUGGUGGGGUAGUGGCUUACCAAGGCUUUGACGGGUAGCCGGCCUGAGAGGGUGACCGGCCACAUUGGGACUGAGAUACGGCCCAGACUCCUACGGGAGGCAGCAGUGGGGAAUAUUGCACAAUGGGCGGAAGCCUGAUGCAGCAACGCCGCGUGCGGGAUGACGGCCUUCGGGUUGUAAACCGCUUUCGCCUGUGACGAAGCGUGAGUGACGGUAAUGGGUAAAGAAGCACCGGCUAACUACGUG
rnacentral:rRNA from 1 species